AUGAGGAUCACGGUGUGGAACUGCCGGGGGUAGGGGAACGACCCGGCAGUGAGAGGGCUUCUGGAUGUGCAGAAGCAGGAAGACCCCGACCUUCUCUUUUUAUCAGAAACCAAACUUGAUAAAAGGAGAAUGGAAAGUCUCAAAUGGAAGCUGGAAAUGAGUAACUUGGUGGCAAGGGACUGUGAAGGAAAAAGUGGUGCGUUAGCAUUAUUGUGGAAGAAGAAAAUAAAGGUAGAGCUCCACAAUUAUUCCAGGUACCAUAUUGAUGUGGAGAUAACUGAGGAAGACGGAUUUAGAUGGAGAUUUACUGGAAUAUAUGGAGAACCAGCAAGUGAGAGAAGGAAUGUAACAUGGAAACUACUAAUCAUCCUAAAUCAAUAG
rnacentral:rRNA from 1 species